rnacentral:rRNA from 1 species
GACGAACGCUGGCGGCGUGCCUAACACAUGCAAGUCGAACGGGGUAAAGACUUCGGUUUUUACUUAGUGGCGAACGGGUGAGUAACGCGUGAGAAACCUGCCUUUCAGUGGGGGACAACAGUUGGAAACGACUGCUAUACCGCAUAAUGUUAUUUGGGGGCAUCCCUGAAUAACCAAAGAUUUAUUGCUGAAAGAUGGUCUCGCGUCUGAUUAGCUAGUUGGUGAGGUUACGGCUCACCAAGGCGACGAUCAGUAGCCGGUCUGAGAGGAUGAACGGGCACAUUGGGACUGAGAUACGGCCCAGACUCCUACGGGAGGCAGCAGUGGGGAAUAUUGGGCAAUGGGGGAAACCCUGACCCAGCAACGCCGCGUGAAGGAAGAAGGCCUUCGGGUUGUAAACUUCUCUUACCAGGGACGAACAAAUGACGGUACCUGGAGAAAAAGCAACGGCUAACUACGUGCCAGCCGCCGCCGUAACAC